GAUGAACGCUGGCGGCGUGCCUAAUACAUGCAAGUCGAGCGAACAGACGAGGAGCUUGCUCCUCUGACGUUAGCGGCGGACGGGUGAGUAACACGUGGAUAACCUACCUAUAAGACUGGGAUAACUUCGGGAAACCGGAGCUAAUACCGGAUAAUAUAUUGAACCGCAUGGUUCAAUAGUGAAAGACGGUUUUGCUGUCACUUAUAGAUGGAUCCGCGCCGCAUUAGCUAGUUGGUAAGGUAACGGCUUACCAAGGCAACGAUGCGUAGCCGACCUGAGAGGGUGAUCGGCCACACUGGAACUGAGACACGGUCCAGACUCCUACGGGAGGCAGCAGUAGGGAAUCUUCCGCAAUAGGCGAAAGCCUGACGGAGCAACGCCGCGUGAGUGAUGAAGGUCUUCGGAUCGUAAAACUCUGUUAUUAGGGAAGAACAAAUGUGUAAGUAACUAUGCACGUCUUGACGGUACCUAAUCAGAAAGCCACGGCUAGCUACGUG
rnacentral:rRNA from 1 species